rnacentral:tRNA from 1 species
GCAGUCGUGGCCGAGUGGUUAAGGCGAUAGACUAGAAAUCCAUUGGGGUCUCCCCGCACAGGUUCAAAUCCUGUCGACUGCG